CCCUUAGAUGUCCUGGGCUGCACGCGCGCUACACUGGAAGUUACGGAUUGAGAUACUACCUUGUCCGAAAUGGUCCGGGUAAUCACCUAAAAGCUUGUCAUAAUUGGAAUGGAUUAUUGUAACUAGUAAUCCUGAACGAGGAAUUCCUAGUAAGUCCCAGUCAACAGCUGGUACUGAUUACGUCCCUACCCUUUGUACACACCGCCCGUCGCUACUACUGAUUGGACGUUUAAGCAAGAUUUUUAAACACUGACAGUGUGUAGUUCACGCUAUACUACAGUGAGAAGAAGAAGAUCGAGCUUACUUGUCUAGAGGAAGUAAAAGUCGUAACA
rnacentral:rRNA from 1 species